AGGGAUGCCUUAGUAACGGCGAGUGAAGCGGCAAAAGCUCAAAUUUGAAAUCUGGCACCUUCGGUGUCCGAGUUGUAAUUUGAAGAAGGUAACUUUGGAGUUGGCUCUUGUCUAUGUUCCUUGGAACAGGACGUCACAGAGGGUGAGAAUCCCGUGCGAUGAGAUGCCCAAUUCUAUGUAAAGUGCUUUCGAAGAGUCGAGUUGUUUGGGAAUGCAGCUCUAAGUGGGUGGUAAAUUCCAUCUAAAGCUAAAUAUUGGCGAGAGACCGAUAGCGAACAAGUACAGUGAUGGAAAGAUGAAAAGAACUUUGAAAAGAGAGUGAAAAAGUACGUGAAAUUGUUGAAAGGGAAGGGCUUGAGAUCAGACUUGGUAUUUUGCGAUCCUUUCCUUCUUGGUUGGGUUCCUCGCAGCUUACUGGGCCAGCAUCGGUUUGGAUGGUAGGAUAAUGACUAAGGAAUGUGGCUCUACUUCGGUGGAGUGUUAUAGCCUUGGUUGAUACUGCCUGUCUAGACCGAGGACUGCGUCUUUUGACUAGGAUGUUGGCAUAAU
rnacentral:rRNA from 1 species